ACCCAGGUAAAUCGCUGUCCGCGACGGGACAGCGGGGCCGUCGUUAACCCCUCGGACGGGAGCGCCCUCACUCACGCCCGCCCGCUCCGAAGGCUCCGGUCCCUCAGGCGGGCAUCAGACCCCGCGCCCCCACCUCCCGCUCCCUCACAGCGCGCUGCCCCCGCUCGGCACCGGCCGAGUUUGUGUAAGUGGGGCCGGGCCGUGACUCAGAGCGGCGGGGAGGAGCCGCGACCUGCCGCGGGAGGCCCGGCCCGAGGCGGCUCUUGCCGCCCGCCGAGACACGGUUCGGGGGAUAGAGCCUGACUUAAGAAACGAUAACCCUGCAAUUAAGAAAGCUUCCUGCCAUCUCUGCCUGCCUACAUGGAAAACCCACAAGCCAGAAGUACCAUUUUAAAUCUAUCCCGAUCUUACAAAUGAAAAUUAGAGGUAGUUCCCUAAUGAUACAAGCUGCAAGGUGAUCAGUGGCCUGGAGCACUUCUCUAAAGAGAAGCUGAGAGCGCUGAGGUUGUUCAGCCUGGAGAAGGCUCUGGGGAGACCUUGCUGUGGCCUUCCAGUACUAGGGAGCAUCUCUCAUGAGCAGAGGCUGCAGGAGCUGGGCCUUUUUAGUCCAGAGAAGAAAAGACUGGGAGAAAAUCUCAUUAAUACAUACUGAUGCGUUAAAGGCAGGUGCCAUGGGAAUGGUGCCAGACUCUUUUCAGUGGUGCAUAGCUGCAGGACAAGGAGCAAUGGGCAUAAACUGAAACACAAGAAGCUUCACCUCAGCAUGAGGAAGAACUUCUUCAGGUUGAAAGUGGCAGAGCACUGGAACAGAGGUCAUGGAGUCUCUGUCUCUGGAGAUCUUCAAAACCCAUCUGGAGGAGUUCCUGUGUCAUCUGCUGGAGGUGAACCUACCUUGGCAGGAGAGUUGGACUAGACGAUCUCCACAGGCCCCUUCCAACCCUGUCAAUUGUGUGAUGCUUGAAGUAGGCUCAUAAAAAGAGUGAGAGGGACCUUUUGUGUGGGUGCAUAAUGAUAGGACAAGUGGUAAGGCUUGUAAACUAAAAGAAGAGAGCUUUAGAUGAGAUGUUAGGGAAAAUCCCAUAUUCAGAAGGUGGUAAGGCACUGUAACAGGUUCCUCUCAGCUCUGGAUGUUCCUUCCAUGGAAUUGUUCAAGGCUGAGUUGUAUGUGGCUUUGAUCAACCUGCUCUAGUGGGUGGCAUCCCUACCCGUGGUAAUAGGAUGGAACUGGAUAAUCUUUAAGGCCUCUUCCAACCCAAACCUUUCUGUGAUUCUGUAACACUAUAUCGUUCUUAUUUUUAAAUACCUCACUGUAACUGUGAGAGACUGCUGUGGAGAAUAGUUGAGCAUAGUUCAAUAUGCCACUAUGUUUUCUUCUUCUUUUUUUUUAAGGCUUCAGAUAAAUUAAUUAGAUUGUAAAUGUUUUUGUUAUGGUUUCACAAAAGACUUGAAAUAGGAAUAGAUGCUGGCCUAUUAGGGUAAGAGCUCAUUUAAAUAAAUGUAUAGUAUAAUCUACCAAGUGUAACGGUGUUGUCUCUGAGCUCAGGAAGCAUUCUUUCCAGAGCUCUAUGUAAUUAGAGGAUAAUUUACUGAGAUUUCUAACUAACUAGACUCACAUAAACUAACUCACGCCUAGGUAUGCCAGAGUUAAGGUUUCCCAACCCAGGAUAAAACUGUCAUCCAAAAAUCCACUAAGAAAUAAAACUGAUGUAACACAACUGAGGUUCCUCUACUCCUCCACUUAGGAAGACUGGAAGAAUCAUUGGUUCUUGUACUAUAUCUUGGCACACAUUGAAACUAAAUCUAAACUUUAAGGAGAAGGGAGUACUGCCAUUUCCAGGGACUAUAAUUCCUCCCUCACAUGCUGUUGUUUAUUGGUUUUGGAACUGCAAGAUGAAAUAGUAAGGCCAUAUAAUUCUGUAUUGAAAAUGCUAUGGCAGAGGUGCUUGGUGCUCAGCAGAGCUAGUAACACCAUCCCCACACAGUCUGAGUCCAGAAUCUACUGCCUGGAUGUCUGAGCAUGCAUGUCUCUCUUCGGAGAGCUGUUUUCCAACGUUAGAUCUGGUAUUUCUUUACAUAAAUCCAGGAAGCAGCUUCCAAGUGCUGCUAUUGAGCCUGGGUGCAGAGAUGGAUGUCAUUUGGCUGCUGUCUAGGACAGCAGAGCAGAAGCCAGCUUAGGAAUUUGGUAGAAUUAUCUAGAGGACUUUAGAAAUUGAGAAAUACUUCUCAGUAUUGAGAGGAUACUUCUGUUUAAAUUGUUUGGUCUCAGAAGCAUGGGAAGCAUCAGGCAGCACAGGGAGGAAAGAUGCCCUUAGUGUGAAACCUCUCCUCCUAAGCAGGUCAUUAAGCAGUGAGCCUCUGAAGCACUGCCUCUCGUACAUGCCAAUAGAAUCUGUUUUGCUUCUUUCUGUUGUUGCUCUAAGCAUUUUAAAAGCACUCCAUAAUUAUUUUUGCUGUGAUAAUUAGGUUGAAUCCAAGAUAGCCGUCCAUUUACAUCCCUAUCUCUUAAUCAUUUGAUAAGCUGUUCUAUCACACAGAGUAAGAAGAGAUGGAAGUGUAAAGAUGGCUUAUCACAAGCUCACACUAAUCCUGCUACUCACCCUCUUUGUUCUGGAGGCAUUCUUAGCUCCUGAGAAAUACUUCACCCAAGUGUAAGAGUUAGAGGCACAGCACGUGGACCCAAACACAGCUGACUGACAGAAUAAUUGCAAGGACUGAAGGUAACAUGAGAUUUCACUACCAGCACUUGCUGGUCUUGAAUGUUGUGUCAUUGAUACAGUUGUGCAGAUCCUCUAGUGAAGUUACUAAUAAUUACAACUUUGUAUUUACAGUAGUUAGAGAACACAACAACAUUUGUGCUUAUACUUUUGGUCACAAGUUUUACUCCACAGAAAAAUCGGGCUUUCUAAUGAAAUUCCAGAAAGUUUCUGCUUUCUGUGCCCCUGGGCAUGCCUGCAGCAUCAGAAAGAUAUUUUCUGUUGCAGACAAAAAAUGACCAAGUGUAUCUACAAUGGUAAACCAGACAGCUUUUAGAAGAGCUCUCUUACAGUAGAUUUCUAUGCCAUUUUUUCAUGUUAUGUAUUUUAUCCAUUUGUCCAUAAACGAGUGUACUUUAUGCAAAGAAUUGAAUUACACUCUCCAAUUAUUAGUCACAGGUGUACUACAGAGAGAAAAUCCCUAAGAUAGAAGUGGUUUCAUUUGAAGAAACCCAAGUUACUGUCAACAAACCAGAAUGCUCACUGUAAAUGAAAUGACCUCUGAACUGCCCCAUUUAACACAGAUUUUUCUUCGAUUUGAUCUAGAUACCACCUCAGUAAAACAAACCUAUACCACAUUUGCUUCUUAGCAAGAGAUCUGAUUUCCAGGAAAGGUGUUAGAAGAUAGACAUUUCCCAUUUAAGAAUUAAGAGAAAUACAGGCAUUUUCCAAGUCACGUUAUAUGCCUUAUUGCAGCCAUCAUUCCUUAUCCUCUCUGAGGAACAGGAAAAAAGAAAGUUUGCUUUAAAUCUUCAGAAUGGUACUUCAGAAUUUUCUCUACACAUACCCUAAAACCUUCAUACUAAGAAAGGAAAGCACGCUAAAUGCCUAUGAAAAACCCUUGGUUACUUCUACCUAAAUCAUAUUUCAUCUGAAUGGUAUAAGGCACAUUCAUCCCUUAAUGUUAAAAGAUAUCCCCAAGCUUUUUUUGAGAUACAGUUCUGCAGAUAUUUUGCUGCAACACACAAUUUCCAAUGUAGUACCAUUCUAAAAUCAUUAGGACAGAUAAAUGUUGCAUUUACAUGGAUUGAAUCCAGACACUUGGCUGGACUGGUAACUAAUGCAAGUAUGUAAAUAGAUUGGAAAUUGUGACAUUACCUUUAAGUGUUUGUACUUUGAUAAACAAAAAAAAUUAAAGAUUUCAUAAUCUAUCUUAAUUGGUAUAUUUUGAUUUACCCGUUUCAAGACAACACUUUAAAUAAAGGAAAAUUUGUUUUAAAAGUUAUAUAACAGGAUUUUUUUGAAGAGAUUUACCUAUGACUAUCAUAAGUUAGUGAUUUAUGAGACAAACCAAAAUAAGUUCACUGCCCCUUUAAUAAAAUUAUUUUUCCUCUUUAAAAGCAGAUUUGGUUAUCUAUGAUCCAUUGUAAGGGCCUGACAGUAAUUUUGAGAAUACAUUAAUUCACUGUGCUCCAAAAGUCAGUCCUCUCACAGUCUGCAAUUUCUCAUGCACUGUAAAAUGUCACAGGUCAGCACUGCUAGCAAAAGAAGUAAUCUUGCCUUCCUCCACCCAUUCUGUUCCUCCCUACAUUUCCAUCUUCCCUGAUCUAUACAGCUGUUCAAUAAAUGAGAUCAGUUCCACGAUCCAGCUUAAAAUUAACCCCCCCUUUUUUGUGCUUACAUUUAACAUGGAUCAGUUUUUUGAUCUGCUUCACCUGCCACCACAUAAAUCCUUACUCUGGCACAGGAGAGGGAGCAGCAUGAGGGCAAGAAUGAACUGGGGUACCAUAAAUUAGCAUAGAGAAUAUAUAAAGCAGAAAAUAUAAUUUAAAAAAUGGCUUUUAACAGAUAGGCAUCUAGAAAGAAUUGUACUCUGUUGCUUUUGCGGGUGGUUUUUUGGGUUUUUUUGAGAUUAUGAGCCCAAAACACACAAUAUAUUAUCUGAGAACAUGCCUAUGUCCUCUUAAGGUCCUUACCUUUUCUCUUUGUGCUUUAAAGACACAGAGCUGAACCAUGGACUUGUGCUGUAAAUCCUUCAAACUGUGUCUUUGGGGAGGAGGAAAGCAACUGACAACUUAGGAAAAAAUCUUUCCUUCUGACAGAAUCAAGACAAGACCUCCUUCCUUCUCCACAGGCUGCUAGUUUUGCAGGAUAGAAAUUUUUUCUGUCUCUUAUAGAUUUCUUUCAGAUUUGCUAAACCAUCUUUGCCAGAGAAGAUUUAUGUCUGAACCAUAGCAAAUCCCUUACCUUAAGAAUACAGCUGGAGGAUAUUUAAGAAAAAUACAUCCCUAGAGGCUGAGUAGCAGUAGACAUGUAAAGGCUCAGUCCUCCUCUUCUAAUUACAAGUUGUACUCCAAGGUCCAGGGGAAGAUUUGUCCAAGAACUACAUAACACAUUUUUUAGUGAAAAUUAGGUUAUCAGCAUUACUCUGCCGUACUGGUUAUAAAAACUGUGAUUAUAGCAAACAUGGCAUUUGAGCAAAUAGAGCCAAAGCAUUUUUCUGUAACUAUCUGUGUCACAUCAUAAUCAAUAGUAAAAAACAUCCAUGUUUUCUAGCACUACCCCCUCAAAAUUCAUGUCUGAAAACCUGAAUUUAAUAAUUUAAUUGUUUCAGAUUUGUAAAAAAAAAAAAGAAUGUUGACAGUUCACCAGCAGGGAAAAUGUUAGUAGGCCACAACAGCAGUGCUGCACACUGGGUCAAAUACAAGGCUUCUUCCUAGCUAAUUAUGAUGCAAUCUGUGGAGAUUCCCUAGAGAAGAACUUGCUUAUUAAUACCUACCCAGUGUUCUCUGUUUCCAUAACAUCUCCCUUAGUAUUCACCAUUAUAUUGCCCUUCCAAAGUCACACCUCUCUCUGCUUUCAUAAAAAUUUCUACUUUGUCCUCCUGAUAGACCUUGCGGUAGACUCUAAUCGCUGAGCUACUGACAAUGGGGAAUAGGUUAACCAUGAUAUGGGAAAAUCCCAAAUCCCACAAUCUGAGUUACACAAAGCCUAUCUACCAAAUGUGAAAUCAGUCAUACUGGAAUUUUGCAAUUCUUUAAUAAUUGUAUUUAAUUUUUAAUUUUUUUCUGAGCUAGUAUAAAUUUUCAUCUCUUGGAAACUGAGGGAAGAAAAAAUAAAUUGUCAUACCGUACAAGCCCCCUGCUCUCUGAAUCCAAUGACUGUGCAGCUGCAUGCCUGGGAUGCAGAGACAAAGAGGCAUGGAAGUUCAUAUAAGCUGGCAUGUCUCUCUUAUAUUACUUGAAAUACAAUGAAAUAAUAUUAAGAAGCAUUCUUGUAUGAGUAUGUGAAUGCUGAUUUUCUCUGUGAAUAGGCUAAUGCUAGACAGGAGAUGAACCAUUCAGCUGCAAGGCAAAAAAAUCUAAAAAUCAGAGAGUAGUUGUUAGUAGUGUUUUGUUUCUCUGCAAGGACUUUUUUGUUCCUUGCUUUGGUCUGCAGUAAAGUGAUUCUUCUGCAUUUUCAGAUAUUUGCAUGGCCGGUAGCUGUUACUUUCUACAGAGAAAAUAAGAGACAGAAGUAAGACUUGCCAGGGAAGAAAGCUUUGCUUUGCAUUUCUUGCAAAUGCAAGGAUAUACAGAAAAUAAAGGUUUAUUUCCUGAAAACUGAGUUGGUUUUAAUGUUUUGCAUUGUAGCUUAUUUUCUCUUCAGAGUUUGUGGGUGACAAGAGUUAAGAAUCUUAAGUAUAAAGUUUUUGCAAAAUAUUUUGAAAAAAUUGUUUUUUAACUUUUUUGCCAAUAAUUUGAUUUAUUCCAAAUAAAUACUUAGUUCAAGAGAAAAGCUGAGCACCCAUCUUUGUGUGCAAUUAAACACUUCAAACUCUCAGAGUAGACAGCUGGAGACAGACAAAGUCUCCAGAAUGACUACCAGCCAAAUCACACAUGUAAAACCCUAUAUUUUAAGGUUUCUCCUUGUUCUGCAAGGUGUUCAAUAGGAAGUUUACUGAAAUUCUCAUAAAUUUGCUGAAUUAGAGGUCAAUGGCUGUUGGAGAUUUAGGGGUCAAGUAUCUGCAUUGGUAGGUGCCUAAAUUAUUUGAAAUAAAAUCCCGUUGGGAUAUUUUUCAAAAGCAUCUAGCAGGUGAGAAGCACUCAUAACCCUUUGCAUUUUAAAAUCAUUGGAUAAAAUACCAAGACCAAAUUCCAAGUCUCUUUCUCACCCUUUGAGAGUUAGUUCCUAGCUGCCAGCUGAUACAAUCAUCCUUCUUUUGCUUACUCUUCCAGGAUUGUGCUCUUUGCAGUAUAGUACUCCAGCUCCAAAAGACUCCCUAAUUUCUCACUUUGCAGAAAUUGAUGGGUAAAAAAUAUUGAUGCAAGGAAGGGAAGGCUGCCACUCUAUGGCCGUGCACAUAAACUACAGCUUUAGUUCCACUGCAAUAAAUUGUACUGGAGGAGUUUCUGGGAAUGAGUGAGAGAACAUCUGGGCUUCAUGUCCUACAACGCGAGUAUGAAUACUUUAGAAGAGGACAAAGGAAAAAUCUACCAUAUUGUGUGCAAGAAGCAUGCUGACAUUUCAAUAUUCCUUCAACUCAACAGCUCAGAGUACAAUCACAACAAGAAAAGCAACAUGUGUACCCACGAAUAGCCAGAGAUUAAUUUCACUGGAUUUUCCAGUGAAAAGGAAGUGUGAAAUUGUUUGUCCAGGUACAAAUUUGGUGCAUGACCACAUCAUUGACUUUCAGAAUACAAAAGCUUUGUUAGAAUCCUGAAGGUUUGUGGAAUAAAGUUGUGACUGAGAAAGCUGUUUCAGGACCGAUAGGUUGUUCCUGGCUCCAGCACAGUGCUGAACACAUGGCUUUUGUAAAAGCAUCCCAGAAACUCCUUCUAACACUCUUUUCCUUAUUUUCCAGACCAUUGAACUCUCACUGAUCGGGAAUUGAACACUGUAGAGAUCCUUUAAACAGCUUCUGGCAUUUAGACAGCAUUGGGAGGAGGGGAGUUCACAGUAGACAUAAAAGAUCUUUUUCUGUGAAGCAGUUCAUGAAUUGAUAAAGUUAUCUUGAGAUAAGGAUUUAGGGAAUUUUGUCAAUAAAGACAAUUUACUUAGUCAAUGGGAACAAUCAUAAAGAGUGCAGAAAGCA